rnacentral:miRNA from 1 species
UCUUCUAAGUCCGAUGGCUAGC